rnacentral:rRNA from 1 species
UCCUAGCGGGGACCCCGGGUGAGUAGCACGUGGGCAACCUGCCUCAUAGAGAGGAAUAGCCUUCCGAAAGGGAGAUUAAUACCUCAUAACAUUGCAGUUUCGCAUGAAACAGCAAUUAAAGGAGCAAUCCGCUAUGAGAUGGGCCCGCGGCGCAUUAGCUAGUUGGUGAGGUAACGGCUCACCAAGGCGACGAUGCGUAGCCGACCUGAGAGGGUGAUCGGCCACAUUGGGACUGAGACACGGCCCAGACUCCUACGGGAGGCAGCAGUGGGGAAUAUUGCACAAUGGGGGAAACCCUGAUGCCAGCAACGCCGCGUGAGUGAUGACGGCCUUCGGGUUGUAAAGCUCUGUCUUCAGGGACGAUAACUGACGGUACCUGAGGAGGAAGCCACGGCUAACUACGUGCCAGCCGCCGC